GUCGAGAGGCUUCGGCAAUGGGGGAAACCCUGACCGAGCGACGUCGCGUGGGUGAUGAAGAUCUUCGGAUCGUAAAACCCUGUCAGGUGGGAUGAAAUGUCACAUGGUAAAUAGCCACGUGGCUUGACAGUACCACCAGAGGAAGCUCCGGCCAACUCCGUGCCAGCAGCCGCGGUAACACGGGGGGAGCGAGCGUUGUUCGGAAUCAUUGGGCGUAAAGAGCUCGUAGGCGGCUCCGUCAGUCGGGGGUGAAAGGCCAUGGCUCAACCAUGGAUACGCCUCUGAAACUACGGAUCUUGAGAUCGGGAGAGGAAAGUGGAAUUCCUGGAGUAGCGGUGAAAUGCGUAGAUAUCAGGAGGAACACCAGUGGCGAAGGCGGCUUUCUGGCCCGAUUCUGACGCUGAGGAGCGAAAGCCAGGGGAGCGAACGGGAUUAGAAACCCUUGUAGUCC
rnacentral:rRNA from 1 species